rfam:Brassica oleracea var. oleracea cultivar TO1000 chromosome C7, whole genome shotgun sequence
CCUCUGGAUCCAGAAGAUCUCACUGAACAGAUCCUUGCAGGUCUGAGUGAAGACUACAAGCCAGAGAUCGAUGCUAUAAAUGGCCGUGACAAUCCGAUCUCCUUUGCUGAGCUCCAUGAACGUCUGCUCAAUCGGGA